rnacentral:rRNA from 1 species
GUCUAUAACCAUACCAUCCUGAAUGCACCUGAUCUCAGAAGCUAAGCAGGGUUGGACCUGGUUAGUAGUACUUGGAAGGGAGAAAAGAAAAUUACAGACC